rnacentral:rRNA from 1 species
AUUUUGGACAAUGGGGGCAACCCUGAUCCAGCAAUGCCGCGUGUGUGAAGAAGGCCUUCGGGUUGUAAAGCACUUUUGUCCGGAAAGAAAUCGCGCUGGCUAAUAUCCGGCGCGGAUGACGGUACCGGAAGAAUAAGCACCGGCUAACUACGUGCCAGCAGCCGCGGUAAUACGUAGGGUGCGAGCGUUAAUCGGAAUUACUGGGCGUAAAGCGUGCGCAGGCGGUUGUGCAAGACAGGUGUGAAAUCCCCGGGCUUAACCUGGGAACUGCAUUUGUGACUGCACGGCUAGAGUGUGUCAGAGGGGGGUAGAAUUCCACGUGUAGCAGUGAAAUGCGUAGAUAUGUGGAGGAAUACCGAUGGCGAAGGCAGCCCCCUGGGAUAACACUGACGCUCAUGCACGAAAGCGUGGGGAGCAAACAGG